rnacentral:tRNA from 1 species
AGGGAUGUUGCUCAAUGGUACAGCGCUUGCCUAACAUACAUGAGGCCCUGGGUUCAAUCUCCAGCACCACCA